UCGGUCUAACCACUCAACCGAUGAUGCCAUCGCCACUGCUCUCCACUCAGCACUCACACAUUUGGAUAAAAAAAAGACUCAUACGUCAGAAUGCUGUUCAAAGAUUCCGUUCAGCAUUCAACACUGUCAUCCCUCAACAGCUCAUUCACAAACUGGUCCAGCUGGGGAUCAACACUUCGCUGUGCAACUUGCAACAGGUCGGCAGCAAUACAUCCAGCACCAUCACACUGAACACUGAACACUGAGGCCCCCCAAGGAUGUGUGCUGAGCCCCCUCCUCUUCACUCUGCUGACCCAUGCAUGACUGCACACUGUCACACAAACUCAACCUCUUCUUUAAGUUAGCGGAUGACACGACUGUGGUGGGUCAAGUUAAUUGCAUUAAAUAUUU